rnacentral:rRNA from 1 species
GACGAACGCUGGCGGCGUGCCUAAUACAUGCAAGUCGAGCGCAGGAAACUGACGGAACUCUUCGGAGGGAAGGCAGUGGAAUGAGCGGCGGACGGGUGAGUAACACGUAAGGAACCUGCCUCAAGGAUUGGGAUAACUCCGAGAAAUCGGAGCUAAUACCGGAUAGUUCAACGGACCGCAUGGUCCGCUGAUGAAAGGCGCUUCGGCGUCACCUUGAGAUGGCCUUGCGGUGCAUUAGCUAGUUGGUGGGGUAACGGCCCACCAAGGCGACGAUGAAUAGCCGACCUGAGAGGGUGAUCGGCCACACUGGGACUGAGACACGGCCCAGACUCCUACGGGAGGCAGCAGUAGGGAAUCUUCCACAAUGGACGAAAGUCUGAUGGAGCAACGCCGCGUGAGUGAUGAAGGUUUUCGGAUCGUAAAACUCUGUUGUAAGGGAAGAACACGUACGAGAGGGAAUGCUCGUACCUUGACGGUACCUUACGAGAAAGCCACGGCUAACUACGUGCCAGCCGCCGCGGUAA